CUGUCUGCCGGAGCAGAGCAAGAGGAGAACUCAGGCUGGGGUCAGGCAGCCAGACCCGGCUCUGUGUCUGGGUUCCAGAAAACUCCUUUGCCCUCUGGGCACAGAACUGCCCCCACUCUGGGGCUUGUUGUCCUCCUCAGCCCCCAGUCCACGCUCGGCACUCUUCAGUGGUGGGGAAGGGCAGGGCAGGAGCUGUGACUACAGAUAUUUUCACCUAGAAUCUGCCUUUAUCCUACCACCAUCCCUUGCAGCCCCUCCAUAGGAUUGUCAAGAGGAGUCAUAAAAGGAGGCCUGGUAGGUGCUAGAGGCCUCCGGCCUGUCCCCCAUCUGCAGUUGGACCACUCCCCACUGGGUCUUCAGGUCUGUAUUUGGACCCCUCUGUGGAAAGGGAGCUCACUACUCUGAGGUCUCUGGUGCCAGCUUUGGAGAGGGAAUUAGGGGAAACAAUGGAAUGCUCUUCUCCUGAGUCUGCCUCAUCCCUACUGGGGCAAACCCAGGAGAAAAGAAAGACGGGUGAGGUUGGUGAGUGUUUGGGUGUGUGCUCAUGUUGCACAUAUGUUUAUGUAUAUAUCUGGGUUUUGCUGGGAGAGAGAGAGAAGCUAUGUGCAUGAGCAUGCACGUGUUGGUAAGUGUGGCUCCCUGGUGUGAGCUUGUCUCUUGGGUUUGGGUCUGUGAAUCCCUCUGCGUAUGAGGGUGUAUGCGUCCCUGAGGACAAGUGUGUGUGAGAAAGUUUCUCUGGGUGUGUAUGUGGGUAUCCAUGAUUGUAUGCAUGUGUGGGUGUGAGUGUUCACAUGAGUAUACCCGGGGGGAGUGCACAGGUAGGGAGGCCAGCCCUCAGGCAGGGGGUGCUCGUGCCAACAGAAUAAACACCCAUUAGGAGGCCCGGUCAUGCCACCAGUACAAUAAUUGUGCCCAGGGAGGGUUGUAAAAACCAUUAGGCUGACUCAGUUGGGUGAGAGGCAGUGGCUGGGGAGCCAGUGGGCAGCCCCGUCCCCCUACCUUCAGCUCGGUUCCAGGCUCCGUGACAGUCCUGGGCCCAGCAGGGGCUGACUGUGGGCACCUGCUCUGGCCGGUGGGGCCCCUUCACCCUCACCCCUUGGCCCCUCUCCCUUUCAGCUCACAGUUUCUGCUUAAUGAGGGGCGGCCACUCCCUCCUCCCCAGCUCACUUGCCCCAGGGAACAGCCAGGCUGAAUCACCCCCUGAUGCCAGCGUCACUGCAAGUUGCUGGCAGGAGCUGCUGGAGCCUUUCUCAGGAGCAGCCGGCCUGGGGCAGGGAGCUGGUUGAUAUGACCCCCAAAGCUCCCAGGGUCACAAGGGAGGAUCCUUGAGCCACCAGACCAGGCAGCUGGGGAUUCACCUUCAACUCGCAUGACAGUCCCUACUAGGAGUCAAGGCUAUGUCACCGGAUGGGCAGAGUUAAUGGGCACUGGGACCUUUUAUGGCCCCAUAAAACUGUGACUUUGGGAUGCCAGGGCAGCCCCCACCCCAGCCACUUCCUGUUUGGAAGAGUGAUGGUCAGCACCAGCAAUUAUGUCCAGUGGCUGGACACUUCCCCAGUCCCACAUCCCUGACUCAUGGGGCUACAGGACGCCCACCUCAGCUGCCUCAGGCAUGAGUGUUGCCCACCUCAGGAUCCAUUCUGUCCUUGCCCAGAAAAAUGACCUUCAGGUGGGGAGUGAGAGAUAGAGGGGACAGCGAAUCUUUGAACUAAUUCCUUAGGUGGGUCAGAGGGGAACUGCCGGAGUUGGAAGGAAUCUAUGUGCCAACUGGUCCAACCUGACCAUCUUACAGAUUGGGAAGCUGAGGUCCAGAGCAGAAAGAGCCUGGCCUUAGAUCACACAGGAAGGCAGUGACAGAGCACAGACUCCAACUCUGUCCCUUAGUUAAGGGCCCUGCCCAAGUCACCCCAUAGGGCUGGUGUCACCAUCUGGGGCCCGUCCCACCCUCACAGAUGCUUUCUCUCUGAAGUCAAAUGUAAACUUGGAGUGAGGGAGUGAUGCAACUGGCUAAGAACAACAACCAAAAAAAAAAGCUGUUAGACCUCUUCACUCCUCAGCCCCAUAAAACAGGGAUUACACAGCUCCCAGGAAAAAUAAUUAAGCCAGGAAGAUGAGAUGCAGGGAGGAACUGGGGGCUGGGCGGGGAGCUGGCAAGGAGGAAGGGCCGAGAGGAGCAUGGCAGAGCCCUCACUAACCUCUCUCUGGCCUGGUCCCUUGAAGUGCCUAGAGGACCCUCCCAAAGCUUUAGGGGUUAGGGAGAGUUUGGUCCCCUGACCUGCUGGGAUAUAGGGGCAGCCUGGAUACUGGCUUUGAUGCCUCUUGAAUCCCAGAGACAACUAUCCUCCCUCCUCUCCCUUCCAGAACCUUUGGUGGUGGAUGACCAUACUUUUCCAUUCCUGGCUGGACCACUCUGGCCAUCUUGCCCACUCCUCAUCUGAUGGCAGCUCAAUGAAUAAACAGAGGCUCAGAGAGAUUAAGUAACUUGCCUGAGGUUUCGCAGCUAGUAAAUUCCAGAGCCUGGACUUGAACAAUCUGCUGGACUCUAAGGAUUGCGUGUGUCCCUUCUGCACAUCAUCCUGCCUCCCACAAACCACUUCUCUGUGUUCUUGGCUGAUGUUUAAGCUCCUUUUCUUCCCCUUGAGCUCACACAGGCCCACAUGGGGCCUGGCACACAGGAGGUCGAGUGUCUCUGUUGGUUGAAUGAAUUAAAGUUCAGUUGGAAGGCC